AUCUAUUUCUAGUGGCGGACGGGUGAGUAACGCGUGGGUAACCUGCCUUAUACAGGGGGAUAACAGUCAGAAAUGGAUGCUAAUACCGCACAAGCGCACAGAGCUGCAUGGCUCAGUGUGAAAAACUCCGGUGGUAUAAGAUGGACCCGCGUUGGAUUAGCUUGUUGGUGGGGUAACGGCCCACCAAGGCGACGAUCCAUAGCCGGCCUGAGAGGGUGAACGGCCACAUUGGGACUGAGACACGGCCCAGACUCCUACGGGAGGCAGCAGUGGGGAAUAUUGCACAAUGGGGGAAACCCUGAUGCAGCGACGCCGCGUGAAGGAAGAAGUAUCUCGGUAUGUAAACUUCUAUCAGCAGGGAAGAUAGUGACGGUACCUGACUAAGAAGCCCCGGCUAACUACGUGCCAGCAGCCGCGGUAAUACGUAGGGGGCAAGCGUUAUCCGGAUUUACUGGGUGUAAAGGGAGCGUAGACGGUGUGGCAAGUCUGAUGUGAAAGGCAUGGGCUCAACCUGUGGACUGCAUUGGAAACUGUCAUACUUGAGUGCCGGAGGGGUAAGCGGAAUUCCUAGUGUAGCGGUGAAAUGCGUAGAUAUUAGGAGGAACACCAGUGGC
rnacentral:rRNA from 1 species